AACGAACGCUGGCGGCGCGCCUAAUACAUGCAAGUCGAGCGAGAAGACGUAGCAAUACGUUUGUAAAGCGGCGAACGGGUGAGGAAUACAUGGGUAACCUACCCUCGAGUGGGGAAUAACUAGCCGAAAGGUUAGCUAAUACUGCGUACGCUCCUUGGACUUCGGUUCAGGGAGGAAAGCGAUACCGUGGGUAUCGCGCUCUUGGAUGGGCUCAUGUCCUAUCAGCUUGUUGGGAGGUAACGGCUCACCAAGGCUUCGACGGGUAGCUGGUCUGAGAGGACGAUCAGCCACACUGGCACUGCGACACGGGCCAGACUCCUACGGGAGGCAGCAGUAAGGAAUAUUGCGCAAUGGGGCGAAAGCCUGACGCAGCGACGCCGCGUGGGGGA
rnacentral:rRNA from 1 species